UAUGUAAUGUUCUUGCGUAAAUCGGAUGGGUGCAUCCGAUUUGCAUAAGAACUCGGGGAUACAAGAGGAGAGACCAAAAUAGAAUUUUGGGCUCUCCUCUCUCCCGAAAUGCGAAAAGAGAGUCAGUCGUAGUUUAGAGUAGAUUAAGAGUAGUAUAAGUAGUUAAGUUACGGUAGUUUAGGUUAGAUUUAGUUAAGUUCGUAAGAAAUAAAGCUUGGGCAUUUUCUAGCCCUACCUUUGGUAAAAGAUUAAAGUGCUUGUGGAAUUUAUUGGAGCUACCAGGAACCAAUAUCGGUUACAAAUGGCGCCUGGUCGGGGCGUAGCCAGGAUUGGGUCCUGGGGGGGGCUCAGCCGGAAAAAUAUAUUUUACCUAAGUAUAUGGGCCUUUUUAACUUUAAGAUUUCUACGUGCAAUUACCUAGCGGUUCAUACCAUUUUAAGCACAACAUUUUAACACAGAAUAAAUAUAUAAGCACAUCUAGUUUAGCACUAGGUAUGUAUUAAAUACCAAAAACUUUUGCAUGCACAUAAACUUCUAAUUGAUCGUGUUGCAGUCGGAGAACCAUAAUUCCUGUUCCGUCUUGACUUCCUUCCAUAAACUCUAAUUUGGCUGUUCCUAUAGCGUAACUUGGCCAUUAUAUUUACUUGAGUUGCAGCAAGACUUCUUCGACUUCGCGAAGGCGUGAUUUUUCAAAAAUAUUUGGCGUGAACUGCGAAUAAAUGUAUAAUUCUAAUGCUGUUUUAACAUUGAUAGCAGUCUGGGAACGGAAUAUUUAAAGCUUAUUUACAUGUACGUAAUUUCAUGAUGGUUAACAAAAAACGUGAUCCAGUUGUUUGCCAGUUUCUCGAAAAUUGUGAUUAAAUUAACUAUAUUUCUUGAACUUUGCUUAGUUUUUUCUUAAAUUCUAAAAUAAUUUAUAAGUGAGACUACGUUUGUAAUUUGGAAAGAAGUUCUUAAACAGAAUGUUGUUCUUCCUGAAACGAAACUUUAAAUUUGCGAAGUGACUUUACCUUGUUGCCUCAAAAAAUUCGCAAUUUCGAAAAAGUUACGUUGCUAUGCCAAUAUGCGAACUCGAAAUGAAUACACUCGUUGGUUGCUUCAUAUUUAUAUUUUCAAGCUUCAAAAGGGUUAGGAAAUCUCUAUUUGUAGUCCAAAUUAAUAUUUCCAUGCUUCGCACCAACCAGAUUUUGCAAUGAAGUAUGUAAAAGUUAUUUUGUUAAGCACGUCAAAAACUGGAAAUUUUCAACCUCUUUUGAAAUGAGAAAAAAAUCAACUUAGCAGACAAUUGGAAAAAUGCGUUAAAAGAGCAGCAAGGAGAUUUUGUCUUAUUGUCAUGUAAGUAUAAAUUUCAAUUUAUGAAAUUUCCGCUAAUGUUAUUUACAAUAAGAAACAACAAUUAAAACAGUUUUUGUUGCAAUUGAUAGAAGUAGAACUUUUAAAUUUUGUUAGAAUUUAAAAAACGAAAAUUGACAAAAUAUUCCACAUUUUGACAAUAUUUUAAUAGCAAGUUUUAUUAAACUUGCAAAUUUUUGCGUAUUCAUAAUAAAAAUGAAAUUACGGAAAGGAAAAUAACUUUUAAACAUUUCAUCAUUCCAACGGCAGUGCUAUAUGCUAAAAAAAUCAUUUUAGUUUUUUAGUACAGCUCUUGUCAAAUAUUUCGCAAAAACAUUAUUUUGCAUGGCAUUUUCUAUGUGAAAGUUUAGCUGCACGAAAUCAUAGCUCAGGAUGGUCCUCAGUUAGGACAAUACGAACAAAAAUCAGGAUGGGACAGUGCUUCCCCGAGUAGAAAUCACUAUGUCGAAUUCUGCAGGAAUCAACAAAAACCCUAUGCAUAUUGCAUUAUGCAUAAUUUUUUUUGUAUAAUCCUGCAGGAAAUUUCUGUCCAUUUUUUCUGCAGAAACAUAUUUGCAUAAUUCUGCAUAGUUCUGCACAAUUUCUGCAGAAAUCAUUAUGCAUACACUUUUUCUGCAGAAUAUUGGGGCAAUUUUCUGCAGGAAAAUAGUUGAAAUUUUUACUCGGGUCGCUGGUACGCUUUUUGUAUUUAACUCGUGCUGAUAGUUUGUUUAGCUUGAGACAAAUUUUAGCAUCACUUAAUAUGUUUACUGAGGGUCCGGCGAGAUUAUAGAACGUGUCGCUGAUCUUAAAUUUUGGGCGAAAUAUGCUUUGCGGAAUAUUCUAGGUUCUCUCAUCGUGUUCCUCACCCUUUUUUUGAUAAAGAGUGAAGUUAUGAUUUCUGGUUAGGUUAGGUUAGGUUAGGUUAGAAAGCGAAGAUUUAAAGGCCGAUAGCAGAGUUUUCCAAAAUCACUUUUCAUUUGAAAGUCUGCCAAACUCUUAAAAAAAUUUUUGAUGGAAAUUUUAAGUGUAGAUUUGACAUUUCUCAUCAAAGAUAAAAUAGGGGGGGCAUAAGUGGAUGUAACAAGGUUACUUUUACGAAAUAAUUUAAAUCUUUUAUAUUAAAAAAAUGUUCGAGAUCUGGAUGGUGAUCCUAACAAAAAGUUUGUGGUUCGUGAACUUUCGCACUCCUAAAUGUCUUAAUCGACAGAUUUUGAUGAAUCAUCUGGCCUAUUAUUAGUCGGGAGACUUGGUGCGUCACGGUUCACUUUUGUGACAAGUGUCGCACCAUGCGGGGAGUGAUCGUUGGGCGACUAUGGACGUCGUAGUUCUGCAGUCUUGUGCCUUUCUCUAGUUGAGUUCUUUAUUAUAAUAAUGGACCUUAUGGAAAGUCUUAUUUUUUGAAAUUGAAUGUUUUCCAAUAAAUUUGUAGGGGUCAUUUUGGCUUCGCACCGAAUACUUAUCUCAGAUGCUGCGAAAUCUUUCAUCGCAUGGAACCAUUUGGGGUUAAUUUUUGGACCCGUUUUCAAAUUUUCGAAAUUGAGAGAGUGAGUUCGCAAUGCAGCUUGAACCGAAGUUUCUGAAAAGUUUCAAAUAUUAGGAAUUACCGCCAUUGUUUCAUGUAAUUAUGCAAAAUAGCUACACAUUAUAAUCUCGCCAGCCCCUGUAUUUUAGUUUCUUAAUGUGGGUGGAACGAACAUACCUAUAUUGUUUAUGUAUUUUAAUAUAUAAGCUAAUAAGGAGCAGCAUAAUUGAGAUUGAUUUUUGAGAUGGGGAAACUACAAGUGACAAAAACUACAUCAAAAUUCGGAUUUGGAAAAACCGCAAGCAAUUGUUACGUAACAAUUUGCCGACAUAAAACGGGAUAAUACGACUUUAAUCUCGAAAGUAAAGACAAUCGCUUAUUAAUACAUCUGCUCACAUUUAUACCUUCAAUUUGUGAACUAAUAGUUUUUUAAUUUUUAAAUUUUAUUUAUAUUUUUAUUUUCUUAUUUUAUUUUGUUUUAUUUUAUUUUACUUUUUUCCGGCUCUGGGGGGGGGGCUCAAGCCCCCCUAGCCCCCCCUUGGCUACGCCACUGCUCGGUUUCUAGCCUUUAUGUACAUAUGUCCUGCACAUUUGGAUUUCUAAACCUCAAUUGUAUGUGGUAAACAAGUUUAUGUAGACAGGGUUCCGUGGUUAAUUAUGCUUGGACAUUAAUUCAAAAUUGUCUUGCUAGUAAAUAUAUCAUAGUGCGGUUCUAUAUUUUAUGAUUUAUACGAUUAAUAAUUGUAUUUUUGUUCUUCCAGAAAAGGCAAAAUGGCUAGUACAAGUUGAAACUCCAUGAAAGGUUGAAUUUCACUACUAUUAUUUGCAAACAGGAAUAAAUAAAUAAUGGAACAAGGGAUAUAAAAUGAAAAAGAAAACAGACAAAGAAUACGCUCACAAAUGUGGCUCAUAAAUAAAUAACGAAUGAAUAUAAAAAAUAAAAAA